GAUGAACGCUGGCGGCGUGCCUAAUACAUGCAAGUCGAGCGAACAGACGAGGAGCUUGCUCCUCUGACGUUAGCGGCGGACGGGUGAGUAACACGUGGAUAACCUACCUAUAAGACUGGGAUAACUUCGGGAAACCGGAGCUAAUACCGGAUAACAUGUUGAACCGCAUGGUUCAACAGUGAAAGACGGUCUUGCUGUCACUUAUAGAUGGAUCCGCGCCGCAUUAGCUAGUUGGUAAGGUAACGGCUUACCAAGGCAACGAUGCGUAGCCGACCUGAUAGGGUGAUCGGCCACACUGGAGCUGGGACACGGUCCAGACUCCUACGGGAGGCAGCAGUAGGGAAUCUGCCGCAAUGGGCGAAAGCCUGACGGAGCAACGCCGCGUGAGUGAAGAAGGUCUUCGGAUCGGAAAACUCUGUUAUUAGGGAAGAACAAAUGUGUAAGUAACUAUGCACGUCUUGACGGUAACUAAUCAGAAAGCCACGGCUAACUACGUG
rnacentral:rRNA from 1 species